rnacentral:rRNA from 1 species
GUAGGUGACAAGCGUUGUCCGGAUUUACUGGGUGUAAAGGGCGCGUAGGCGGACUGUCAAGUCAGUCGUGAAAUACCGGGGCUUAACCCCGGGGCUGCGAUUGAAACUGACAGCCUUGAGUAUCGGAGAGGAAAGCGGAAUUCCUAGUGUAGCGGUGAAAUGCGUAGAUAUUAGGAGGAACACCAGUGGCGAAGGCGGCUUUCUGGACGACAACUGACGCUGAGGCGCGAAAGUGUGGGGAGCAAAC